rnacentral:lncRNA from 1 species
UGUAGAAGGAGUCCUCUACACCUACUAGGUCUCACACCCAAAAAUUAAUGCCACCCCCUCCUUAAUUGCAUUGAGAGGUGGAAGAGUCCUUCUUCAUGAAGACUCUUAUCCAACUCCUCGAUUUCCUUCAGAUCUUAAUUAUUACAUGCCAAAUUAAUGUGAUGGAUUUAUGGGGCAUAGAAGAGGAGUUCUUCUGUGUGAAGACUUUUUUUCAUCAAAUAAUGACAUGGAGAAUUUAUUCUCUGCAUG